GUGUGCAGCGUGGACAUGCUGUACCCGGUGACCCAGGUACCGGCCAGCAGAGUGGGGCACCCAAGAGCUCCUCACUCUCAGGGUGGUGUGCGGUCUUAAGCCUGUGAGUUGUUUAUUUCUGGGAUUUUCCAUUUAAUAUAUUUGGACCAGAGUUGACCUCAGGUAAAUGAAACGGCAGAAAGCAAAGCCUCGGGUGAGGCACGACUGAGGCCAGACGGGAAGGCAGGGGCCAGAGAGCAGGUCAGGGACACCCG
rnacentral:lncRNA from 1 species